rnacentral:tRNA from 1 species
GGGGCUGUAGCUCAGCUGGGAGAGCAUACGGCUGGCAGCCGUAAGGUCAGGGGUUCGAUCCCCCUCAGCUCCACCA